ACGGGGCCCGCACAAGCGGAGGAGCAUGUGGUUUAAUUCGAUGAUACGCGAGGAACCUUACCUGGGCUCGAACGUAAGAUGACUGUAGGUGAAAGCUUACAUCUCUUCGGAGCAUUUUACGAGGUGCUGCAUGGUUGUCGUCAGCUCGUGCCGUGAGGUGUCGGGUUAAGUCCCAUAACGAGCGCAACCCUACCUUUAGUUGCCAUCAGGUAAUGCUGGGGACUCUAAAGGAACUGCCUACGCAAGUAGUGAGGAAGGCGGGGAUGACGUCAAAUCAGCACGGCCCUUACGUCCAGGGCUACACACGUGCUACAAUGGCCGAUACAGAGGGCAGCUACCUGGUGACAGGAUGCAAAUCUCCAAAGUCGGUCUCAGUUCGGAUCGGAGUCUGCAACCCGACUCCGUGAAGUUGGAUUCGCUAGUAAUCGCGCAUCAGCCAUGGCGCGGUGAAUACGUUCCCGGGCCUU
rnacentral:rRNA from 1 species